AGGGGGGAUAGGAGUCAUUAACCCGUGACUGAACAGGAGAGGGGUCAUUUGUUUUGUCCCAGGAAAUGGCCAGCUGGAAAGAAGAGAUGGGCUGGAACAUGCAGGCAGGCUGGGGAAGGCCUUGGAGUUUCAGAAGGAUGUUGCCGUGUUAUGGACUCAACUGUGUCCUCUCCAGUUUUGUAUGUUGAAGUCCUAACCUCCGUUACCACAGAAUGUGACUGUAUUUGAAGAUAGAAUGACACUGUGAUCUUGUGAAGAAGGUGCCUGCUUCCCCUUCUGCCAUGAUUGUAAAUUACCUGAGGCCUCCGCAGCCAUGCUGAACCGUGACCUUGGUUUGGCCACCUUUUCAGAAGAUUUAUCUCCAGAAAUAUUAUAGAACCAGUUUGUUCUACUACAAACUUACCA